GACGAACGCUGGCGGCGUGCCUAAUACAUGCAAGUCGAACGCACAGUCUAUACGGUCGCUUGCUACACGAUAGACUGUGAGGUGCGAACGUGUGAGUAACGCCCAGGUAAUCUGCCUGGUAGCGGGGGAUAACUAUUGGAAACGUUAGCUAAUACCUCUUGAUCUUGAUGAUUGCAAGAUAAUUAAUGGAAAGGCGCAAUUGCACCACUAGCAGCUGGAUCUGCGUUGUAUUAGCUAGUAUGGGAGGUAACGGCACACCUAGUCGAAGAUACAUAGGCGACCGGGUGGGGGGGCCGGCCACCCUGGGACUUGGACACGGCCCAGACUCCUACGGGAGGCAGCCGUAGGGAAUCUUCGGCAAUAGACGAAAGUCUGACCGAGCAACGCCGCGUUAGUGAAGAAGGUUUUCGGAUCGUAAAGCUCUGUUUUUAGAGAAGAACGAGUGUGGGAGUGGAAAGUUCACACUGUGACGGUACCUUACCAGAAAGGGACGGCUAACUACGUG
rnacentral:rRNA from 1 species